AAAUUCCUUACGUGUUACUCUUUCUCUCACACUUUUCUGGCUCUUUGUUUAUUCCUAUCUCUAGAAGGCUAGCGCAGCUUUACUCUUUCUCUCAUUUUUGUCGCUCUUUGUUCUUUCCUAGCUCCAUAACUUAAGACCUGAGCUGAUGAACUGAAGAACUGAGCUCCAUAACUCGAAUUUCAUCUAGUCGACUUUCUAAAGACAUGAAGAUCUGAAGAUAUAGAGGUGGAAAUGAAAAAAAUGAAGAGUGGAAGCUGAAGAACUCAAGUGCUUAGAUCUUAUAAAGGUUGGACGAUCAGGGAGAUUUGUGAAGCUUGGUUAGCUGUUAGCCUGGUCACUUUUGCGGAUCACUUCACUUUAUAUGUAUUAAUUAUGUACAUUUCUUUUAUACUAGAUCAUUAAGCUCUAUGUAUUGAUUUCUGCUACUACUGAUAGCAUCUAUCUGACUGUGAGAUAUAUAAUUGAACAAUAACUAGUAAUAGAGAUCAAGAAAAUCCCUUCACAGAUAGAUCAAGCUAUAUAUAAAGUCUUCUGUGUUAGCUCCCCUUA